ACUGACGAAGGUGAUUAUCAGAUCAAAAUGCGUAACAUCACCCGCUUUUUAGCUGACGGUGAUAAAGUAAAAGUCACCUUAAGGUUCCGCGGACGUGAAAUGGCUCACCAACAUCUGGGCGCAGAACUACUCAAGCGUAUUCAGGCUGAUUUAAUAGAAAUUGGUACCGUUGAGCAGUUCCCCAAAAUGGAAGGUCGCCAGAUGGUAAUGAUUAUUGCCCCGAAAAAGAAAUAAUCAUUAUCCGAAUUCAGCUAUGUUACCAAAACCUCAUUUUACCUAGAUAAAAUGAGGUUUUUCAUAUACUAGCCUA
rnacentral:misc_RNA from 1 species